rnacentral:lncRNA from 7 species
CCCAGCCCGAUCUAGCGCACUAGCUCGCGCCACCUCCACCGUUUUGACAGUGCCGCCGCCGCCGACUAGUCUACGUCGUCGCCGUGCCGUCCCGACCACGCUACCAUCGUCACCCUGCCCCCGAUUCUGGCCCCACCGUCACCGUCUUACCCAGCCCUGGCGCCACUAGUCGCAUGGACCCCAGUCGCCGCCUCGUCUCGGCGCCACCGCCACUUGACGCGCUUGCCCGUCUGAUGCGACAAACAUGUGAGGAGCACCGUUAGAGGUUAUUGUUUGAUUUUUUAUGAUUUAUUUUCGAUGGUCGUUUUUAUUAGCCACCGACAUUAGUGAUCAGUAGUAUACAUAAUUAGUUGUUAGGUGAAAUUAUUUGUUUCAUUGUUUGCAUAACCGAAUGAUUAAUUAUUUGUUUAUACCUUGAAAAAAUAUAAUUGAUCACAUGUUUACUCAAUUAUGCGUUAAAAUAAUUGUU